GAUGAACGCUGGCGGCGUGCUUAACACAUGCAAGUCGAACGAAACACCUUAUUUGAUUUUCUUCGGAACUGAAGAUUUGGUGAUUGAGUGGCGGACGGGUGAGUAACGCGUGGGUAACCUGCCCUGUACAGGGGGAUAACAGUCAGAAAUGACUGCUAAUACCGCAUAAGACCACAGCACCGCAUGGUGUAGGGGUAAAAACUCCGGUGGUACAGGAUGGACCCGCGUCUGAUUAGCUGGUUGGUGAGGUAACGGCUCACCAAGGCGACGAUCAGUAGCCGGCUUGAGAGAGUGAACGGCCACAUUGGGACUGAGACACGGCCCAAACUCCUACGGGAGGCAGCAGUGGGGAAUAUUGCACAAUGGGGGAAACCCUGAUGCAGCGACGCCGCGUGAGUGAAGAAGUAUCUCGGUAUGUAAAGCUCUAUCAGCAGGGAAGAAAAUGACGGUA
rnacentral:rRNA from 1 species